UACGAAGGGGGCAAGCGUUGUCCGGAAUCAUUGGGCGUAAAGCGCGUGUAGGCGGCUAGGUAAGUCUGCUCUGAAAGCCCGGGGCUCAACCCCGGGAGGCGGGUGGAUACUGUCUAGCUCGAGUCCGGAAGAGGAGUGUGGAAUUCCUGGUGUAGCGGUGAAAUGCGCAGAUAUCAGGAGGAACACCAAUGGCGAAGGCAGCACUCUGGGACGUGACUGACGCUGAGACGCGAAAGCGUGGGGAGCAAACAGG
rnacentral:rRNA from 1 species